rnacentral:rRNA from 1 species
UACGAAGGGGGCUAGCGUUGCUCGGAAUCACUGGGCGUAAAGGGUGCGUAGGCGGGUCUUUUAAGUCAGGGGUGAAAUCCUGGAGCUCAACUCCAGAACUGCCUUUGAUACUGAGGAGCUUGAGUCCGGGAGAGGUGAGUGGAACUGCGAGUGUAGAGGUGAAAUUCGUAGAUAUUCGCAAGAACACCAGUGGCGAAGGCGACUUACUGGACCACAUAUUGACGCUGAGGUGACGAAAGCGGUAGGGACAGCAAACGAGGA